CUGAGACACGAAAGCGUGGGUAGCAAACAGGAUUAGAUACCCUGGUAGUCCACGCCCUAANCGAUGCAUAUUUGGUGUGGGUCAUUCAGUUGAUCCGUGCCGGAGCUAACGCGUUAAAUAUGCCGCCUGGGGAGUACAGUCGCAAGGCUGAAACUCAAAGGAAUUGACGGGGGCCCGCACAAGCGGUGGAGCAUGUGGUUCAAUUCGACGCAACGCGAAGAACCUUACCUGGGCUCGAACGGCUGGUCAACGGCGGUGGAAACACUGUUACCCCGCAAGGGGGUCCAGUCGAGGUGCUGCAUGGCUGUCGUCAGCUCGUGUCGUGAGAUGUUGGGUUAAGUCCCGCAACGAGCGCAACCCUUGUCCUGUGUUGCCAUGCCGAAAGGCGGAACUCGCAGGAGACCGCCAGCGAUAAGCUGGAGGAAGGUGGGGAUGACGUCAAGUCCUCAUGGCCUUUAUGUCCAGGGCUACACACGUGCUACAAUGGACGGUACAAAGCGCAGCGAACCCGCGAGGGGGAGCCAAUCGCAAAAAACCGUUCUCAGUUCGG
rnacentral:rRNA from 1 species